AUAAUUUUUGUUAAUCCUUUUUUUUUUUUUUUUUUACAGCGAAGCACAGAAUUAUAUCAAGUCAAAGCAAGAACAGUUUGAAUAUCCACCAGUGACUAAACAAGUCCAAUAACUUAGCAGUUUAUAUAAAAAUGUAGUAAUUUUUUAAAAAAAUAGUUACAACAGUUGUAUAUGUACAUACACAGAUAUAUUUACAACUCCGUUUUUAUGUUUCUGUAACUUGUGUUGGCUGAAACUGUUUUUUUUUUUUUUUUUUUAAUUUCAACUAUUACGAACUAAAAAAAUUAUUAAUGUACAAGAUUUUGAUUUUUGUUGUUUUUGUUGUUUUUGUUGUUUUUGUUGUUUUUGUUGUUUUUGUUGUUUUUGUUUUUGUCGUUGUUCUUGUUGUAGUAACUUCGAACUACGUAGGUAAAAAAUUAAAAAUGUAUAUUACAUAAAAUGUGAUAAAAAUAUCCCUAUAAAAAGAUGCUAUGUAAUAUGUAUUUAUGCAGUGCGAUAUAAUAGACGAAAAAAAAUAAAAUAAAAUAAAAGAAGUGAUAUGUUGGGCAUAUGAUGUUAUGAAGCAGAAAAAAAACAAAAAAAGAAAAAAAAAAAAGAGUUUUAAAAACAUACGCAUGUUUGUACGUAUGUAGUAUAUGUACAGCUAAUAUACAUAUAUAUAUAUAUAUAUAUAUAUAUAUAUAUUUAUAUAUAUUUGUCCCUGCUUUUUAUAUAACUUAUUUUUCUACCCUUUUUUUUUUUUUUUUUUUUUUUUUUUUUUUUUUUUUUUUUUUUUUUUUUUUUUUUUUUUUUUUUUUUUUUUUUUUUUUUUUUUUUUUUUUUUUUUUUUUUUUUUUUUAUUUGUGUUGUAAGAAGUGCGUGUAUGUAUGUUUAUACGCUCACGUGUUUAUGCGCUCAUGUGUUUAUGCGUUCGUGUGUUUAUGCGUUCGUGUGUUUAUGCGCUCAUGUGUUUAUGCGCUCAUGUGUUUAUGCGUUCGUGUUUUUAUACGCUCGUGUUUUUA
rnacentral:lncRNA from 1 species